rnacentral:rRNA from 1 species
CGCGUAGGCGGUUCGCUAAGUUGGAUGUGAAAACUCUGGGCUUAACCCAGAGCCUGCAUCCAAAACUGGCAAACUGGAGUACUGGAGGGGAAAGCGGAAUUCCUGGUGUAGCGGUGAAAUGCGUAGAUAUCAGGAGGAACACCGGUGGCGAAGGCGGCUUUCUGGACAGUAACUGACGCUGAGGCGCGAAAGCUAGGGGAGCAAACA